rnacentral:rRNA from 1 species
AAGAAAGGCUCGUCCUUCACAUGGAAGAGUAUAGUAGCUGGUAUACAAACGUUUCAGAGAGGAUGCAUAUGGCGAGUUGGUACUGGAUCACAUAUUGAUAUAUGGCAAGACCUGUGGAUUCCAUCUAGCCCAACAAGGAAAGUGAUCACCCCUCGCGGUGCAGUAAUGCUACAGUUUGUAGAUGAACUAAUUGAUCCAUAUCAUGGGCAAUGGGACGAAGCCCUAAUUCGGGACGUGUUUUCCCCGGUUGAUGUGCAGAGGAUUCUCCAGAUUCCUCUAAAUGUUCAGGUGGUGGAAGAUUUUGUUGCAUGGCACUACACGAGAUCAGGGAUCUUUUCAGUCCGGUCUGCAUAUCAUAGGCAGUUCGAGCACACGUAUGGCAGACACCUCACUAGAUCAGAUGGGCAAGGCAAUACUCAAGCAAAUUCCAUUUGGCAAAAAGUGUGGAAUCUCAAACUUCCGGGUAAGAUUAAACACUUUGCUUGGAAGGCCCUGAAUGGAUCGCUUCCUUGUUACGGUAUCUUAGCCAACAGACACAUCCCUCUAGUCCCGCAAUGCCCGGUUUGUUCUGUGCGAGUGGAAGAUAUACAACACUGUUUAUUUUCAUGUACAAGGGUACAGGAGGUGUGGGAAGAACUGGGUUUACAUGAAAGAAUAAUGGAAGCAGUUAGACAGGACCGCUCAGGAUCAGUUACAAUGGAGAUACUUAGUGCAAUGACGGGCGUCUCUGAUGAUCUCCCUAUACCUGAACUUAUUUUGGUGGCUGCUUGGUACCUGUGGUGGUAG